UACGAAGGGGGCUAGCGUUGUUCGGGUUUACUGGGCGUAAAGCGCACGUAGGCGGUUUGUUAAGUCAGGGGUGAAAUCCCGGAGCUCAACUCCGGAACUGCCUUUGAUACUGGCAAGCUAGAGUCCGGAAGAGGUAAGUGGAACUCCUAGUGUAGAGGUGGAAUUCGUAGAUAUUAGGAAGAACACCAGUGGCGAAGGCGGCUUACUGGUCCGGAACUGACGCUGAGGUGCGAAAGCGUGGGGAGCAAACAGG
rnacentral:rRNA from 1 species